GAUGAACGCUGGCGGCGUGCCUAAUACAUGCAAGUCGAGCGAACAGACGAGGAGCUUGCUCCUCUGACGUUGGCGGCGGACGGGUGAGUAACACGUGGAUAACCUACCUAUAAGACUGGGAUAACUUCGGGAAACCGGAGCUAAUACCGGAUAAUAUAUUGAACCGCAUGGUUCAAUAGUGAAAGACGGUUUUGCUGUCACUUAUAGAUGGAUCCGCGCCGCCUUAGCUAGUUGGUAAGGUAACGGCUUACCAAGGCGACGAGGCGUAGCCGACCUGAGAGGGUGGUCGGCCACACUGGAACUGAGACACGGUCCAGACUCCUACGGGAGGCAGCAGUAGGGAAUCUUCCGCAAUGGGCGAAAGCCUGACGGAGCAACGCUGCGUGAGUGAUGAAGGUCUUCGGAUCGUAAAACUCUGUUAUUAGGGAAGAACAAAUGUGUAAGUAACUAUGCACGUCUUGACGGUACCUAAUCAGAAAGCCACGGCUAACUACGUG
rnacentral:rRNA from 1 species